CCAAACACUGCCAGGCCGCCUCAGUACGCUCCCGGACGCGCUAGGAGUAACGUCGACGUGAGUGAGCUGCUGUCAGUCCUCUCUCGCACACUCACUGGCUCACAGGAACGUGCUUGCUGCCGCUGCCAUUACUACUACUACUCUCCCUACCCACCUCCCACUCCCUCUUGUUGACAUGUGAUGUGCCUCGUCGUCCACCCGCGAUUUUUUGGAGACGAGUUGAGCCGUUCUUCGUACAGGUGGGCGGACACUGGGGACAAGGUGACGUGAAGGACCCUAAAGGAGCCUGAUAAUGACCUACGCUGAAGGAGCUGUCUGUACUGGGAAUUCCCACUGAUCUCACCAUAAGAUUAAGGGAAGAGAAAAUAACAGGAAAAUCUGGACAGGAACAAAAAACCUCUUGGGGGAUUUUUAAGAUUUUUUUUUCUUGGGAGAUCAAAAGAAAUUCAGCAGAAAAGAAAGACAAAGACAAAGGGAGAGAAAGAGAGAGAGAGAAAGAAAGAGAAAACCUUAAUUUUCUUUAAUAUUCUCUCUUAGACUAUAGUAAACUGAACUGAUAUAAUAAACAUAAACUUUCAUAAAUGCCAUUAUAGUGAUUUUUUAAGAAAGAUAAACAAUUAGUACCGAAAAAAAUCUCAUAGUAAGUUUUCUGUGACGGGGAAAAUUGAACAGAUCUAAGCAGUAAAACCCGAAAAAAAUUGAUCUAGUGAUUUUCUGUAACUUUAAGAAAAAAUUUGAUAAACAUAAGCAGAAAAAAACACUUAUAUAUACCUAUUGAAUUUAGAACUAUAUAAACAAACAAAAAACGGUU